GCGAGUGAAGCGGCAAAAGCUCAAAUUUGAAAUCUGGUACCUUUGGUGCCCGAGUUGUAAUUUGGAGAGGGCAACUUUGGGACCGUUCCUUGUCUAUGUUCCUUGGAACAGGACGUCAUAGAGGGUGAGAAUCCCGUGUGGCGAGGAGUGCGGUUCUAUGUAAAGUGCCUUCGAAGAGUCGAGUUGUUUGGGAAUGCAGCUCUAAGUGGGUGGUAAAUUCCAUCUAAAGCUAAAUAUUGGCGAGAGACCGAUAGCGAACAAGUACAGUGAUGGAAAGAUGAAAAGAACUUUGAAAAGAGAGUGAAAAAGUACGUGAAAUUGUUGAAAGGGAAGGGCAUUUGAUCAGACAUGGUGUUUUGCGCCCUCUGCUCCUUGUGGGUAGGGGAAUCUCGCAUUUCACUGGGCCAGCAUCAGUUUUGGUGGCAGGAUAAAUCCGUAGGAAUGUAACUUGCUUCGGGAAGUAUUAUAGCCUGCGGGAAUACUGCCAGCUGGGACUGAGGACUGCGACGUAAGUCAAGGAUGCUGGCAUAAUGGUUAUAUGCCGCCC
rnacentral:rRNA from 3 species